rnacentral:lncRNA from 1 species
CGGGGGGCGCGUCUUCCUGCGGGCUCCUCACGCUGGUGCGGUGGGAGAGGCGGGCCGGGCCCGGGCGGCGGUGCUCUCUGGCCGCCCGCCCCCAGCCGGGCUCGGCGGGGCGUCUGCUCCUCUGGGCCGAGGCGCUCGCCACCCUUGGGCUCCACCAGACCCCAGCUUCAGACUCCAGCCUGGUUGACCAGUACAAAUAGGUGGAGUAUUGUUACAUGGAGCACCACAUUCUGAGCCACAGAGCCCGUGGUGCCGUCUUCCCGGCACAGAACCUCAGCCACACGCCGCGGGAAGCUGCCUCGAGGGGCGUGGUGUCAGGAGGAGGAGCUGGGAGCCCUCAGCUUCCAGGG